CAGAGUGUGGCUGAGCUAGUUAAGCAUCUCACUUACACCGAGAAGAAACCCAUGCAAUCUGGGUCGCUCUGA
rnacentral:tRNA from 1 species